rnacentral:rRNA from 1 species
AGCAGUAGCCGCGGGAAUACGGAGGGUGCAAGCGUUAAUCGGAAUUACUGGGCGUAAAGCGCACGCAGGCGGUCUGUCAAGUCAGAUGUGAAAUCCCCGGGCUUAACCUGGGAACUGCAUUUGAAACUGGCAGGCUAGAGUCUUGUAGAGGGGGGUAGAAUUCCAGGUGUAGCGGUGAAAUGCGUAGAGAUCUGGAGGAAUACCGAUGGCGAAGGCAGCCAUCUGGCCUAAUACUGACGCUGAGGUACGAAAGCAUGGGGAGCAAACAGGAUUAGAUACCCCAGUAGUCCCUGUCUCUUAUAA